rnacentral:rRNA from 1 species
GGCCUACGGGUGGCUGCAGUAAGGAAUAUUGCACAAUGGGCGCAAGCCUGAUGCAGCAACGCCGCGUGAGCGAUGAAGGCCUUCGGGUCGUAAAGCUCUUUUCCCAGGGAAGAGGAAGGACGGUACCUGGGGAAUAAGUCACGGCUAACUACGUGCCAGCAGCCGCGGUAAAACGUAGGUGGCAAGCGUUAUCCGGAUUCACUGGGCGUAAAGCGCACGCAGGCGGCCUGGAAAGUAGGGCAUGAAAUCUCCCGGCUUAACUGGGAGGGGUUGUCCUAUACUACCGGGCUUGAGGAUGGGAGAGGGAAGCGGAACUGCCGGUGUAGUGGUGAAAUGCGUAGAGAUCGGCAAGAACACCAGUGGCGAAGGCGGCUUUCUGGCCCAUUCCUGACGCUCAGGUGCGAAAGCUAGGGGAGUGAACGGGAUUAGAUACCCCGGUAGUCG